rnacentral:lncRNA from 1 species
UUUAAAGCACCUUCAACAUCCGCUAACACGCGGUUAUCCGGUAAUUAAAUAUUUGGCUAAUUGAUUUUUAAGGAAAGAAGCAUGCUUGACUUGAUAAAGUUGAGAGAAUGAACAGUUUUGAGAGUUGAAACCAUUUUAAGGAGGGAAAGGGGGAACAUUAAGAUAUUACCUAAGUGCAAUAGUUUAUAAGAUUGUAUUUUAAGAUCAAAGGAAGUGAGUGCUUAAUUUAGUUGAUUUUUAGAAAAAAAGAGUUUAGAAUGGCUAUCUGUCGG